CCUACGGUGGGCAGCAGUGGGGAAUAUUGCACAAUGGGGGAAACCCUGAUGCAGCGACGCCGCGUGAGUGAAGAAGUAUCUCGGUACGUAAAGCUCUAUCAGUAGGGAAGAAAAUGACGGUACCUGACUAAGAAGCCCCGGCUAACUACGUGCCAGCAGCCGCGGUAAUACGUAGGGGGCAAGCGUUAUCCGGAUUUACUGGGUGGAAAGGGAGCGUAGGCGGCAGCACAAGUCUGGAGUGAAAUCCCGGGGCUUAACCCCGGAACUGCUUUGGAAACUGUGCGGCUGGAGUGCAGGAGAGGUAAGCGGAAUUCCUAGUGUAGCGGUGGAAUGCGUAGAUAUUAGGAGGAACACCAGUGGCGAAGGCGGCUUACUGGUCUGUAACUGACGUUGAGGCUCGAAAGCGUGGGGAGCGAACAGGAUUAGAUACCCGAGUAGUC
rnacentral:rRNA from 1 species